rnacentral:lncRNA from 1 species
AUGUGGGAGGAGCGGAGGGGAUGUGGGAGGAGCGGAGGGGAUGUGGGAGGAGCGGAGGGGAUGUGGGAGGAGCGGAGGGGAUGUUGGAAGAGCGGUCUGUUACAGUGCCUGGUUGUCGAGGAGGCUGUGCUGCAGGAACCAAAGGCAUCAAUAACACUUGAAAGAAGAGACUGGACGACGAUGUUCAAGAAAAGCAGAAGCAAAGUGCUGGUGGAUGACGCGUCAGAAGAGGAUGACAUGUCGUGGCACUACGACCACUGCUAUAAGACCUCCUGUGUGUAUCCAACUCAUGGCUACAAGCUCAGGGCCCAUCAUGGCUUUAUCAUUUUACAUUUUCACCCAGGUGUGAUACAGCAGUAUUGUCAACUGUUCCGGCUGCCUAUUAGGACAAAGACAUAG